AAUAUUGGACAAUGGGGGCAACCCUGAUCCAGCCAUGCCGCGUGUGUGAAGAAGGUCUUCGGAUUGUAACGCACUUUAAGUUGGGGGGAAGGGCUUUAGUUUAUUACCUUGAAUUUUUGCGUUAACAACCGAAUAAGGCCCGGCCUACCCUUUGCCAGCAGCCGCGGUAAUACAGAGGGUGCAAGCGUUAAUCGGAAUUACUGGGCGUAAAGCGCGCGUAGGUGGUUCAGUAAGAUGGGUGUGAAAUCCCCGGGCUUAACCUGGGAACUGCUUUCAUAACUGCUGAGCUAGAGUACGGUAGAGGGUAGUGGAAUUUCCUGUGUAGCGGUGAAAUGCGUAGAUAUAGGAAGGAACACCAGUGGCGAAGGCGACUACCUGGACUGAUACUGACACUGAGGUGCGAAAGCGUGGGGAGCAAACA
rnacentral:rRNA from 1 species